rnacentral:rRNA from 1 species
AGGACGAACGCUGGCGGCGUGCUUAACACAUGCAAGUCGAGCGGAAAGGCCCUUCGGGGUACUCGAGCGGCGAACGGGUGAGUAACACGUGAGCAACCUGCCCUUAGCUCUGGGAUAGCUCCGGGAAACCGGAAUUAAUACCGGAUACGACCUAGGCCGACAUCGGCCAGUGGUGGAAAGUUUUUUCGGCUAGGGAUGGACUCGCGGCCUAUCAGCUAGUUGGUGGGUAAAGCCUACCAAGGCGACGACGGGUAG